GCAAUUAUACAGCGAAACUGCGAAUGGCUCAUUAUAUAAGUUAUCGUUUAUUUGAUAGUACCUUACUACUUGGAUAACCGUGGUAAUUCUAGAGCUAAUACAUGCUAAAAAUCCCGACUUCGGAAGGGAUGUAUUUAUUAGAUUAAAAACCAAUGCCCUCUGGGCUCCUUGGUGAUUCAUAAUAACUUUUCGAAUCGCAUGGCCUUGCGCCGGCGAUGGUUCAUUCAAAUUUCUUCCCUAUCAACUUUCGAUGUUUGGGUAUUGGCCAAACAUGGUCGCAACGGGUAACGGAGGGUUAGGGCUCGACCCCGGAGAAGGAGCCUGAGAAACGGCUACUACAUCCAAGGAAGGCAGCAGGCGCGCAAAUUACCCAAUCCCGAUUCGGGGAGGUAGUGACAAUAAAUACUGAUACAGGGCUCUUUUGGGUCUUGUAAUUGGAAUGAGUACAAUUUAAAUCCCUUAACGAGGAACAAUUGGAGGGCAAGUCUGGUGCCAGCAGCCGCGGUAAUUCCAGCUCCAAUAGCGUAUAUUAAAGUUGUUGUGGUUAAAAAGCUCGUAGUUGAACCUUGGGCCUGGCUGGCCGGUCCGCCUCACCGCGUGUACUGGUCCGGCCGGGCCUUUCCCUCUGUGGAACCUCAUGCCCUUCACUGGGUGUGGCGGGGAAACAGGACUUUUACUUUGAAAAAAUUAGAGUGCUCCAGGCAGGCCUAUGCUCGAAUACAUUAGCAUGGAAUAAUGAAAUAGGACGUGUGGUUCUAUUUUGUUGGUUUCUAGGACCGCCGUAAUGAUUAAUAGGGACAGUCGGGGGCAUCAGUAUUCAAUUGUCAGAGGUGAAAUUCUUGGAUUUAUUGAAGACUAACUACUGCGAAAGCAUUUGCCAAGGAUGUUUUCAUUAAUCAGAAACGAAAGUUUAGGGAUCGAAGACGAUC
rnacentral:rRNA from 1 species